rnacentral:rRNA from 1 species
CUACGGGGCGCUCCAGUGAGGAAUAUUGGUCAAUGGCCGAGAGGCUGAACCAGCCAUCCCGCGUGCAGGAUGACGGCCCUAUGGGUUGUAAACUGCUUUUCUACGCCAAGAAAUCUGAUUACGUGUAAUUAGUUGACGGUAGCGUAGGAAUAAGCAUCGGCUAACUCCGUGCCAGCAGCCGCGGUAAUACGGAGGAUGCAAGCGUUAUCCGGAUUCAUUGGGUUUAAAGGGUGCGCAGGCGGGCUUGUAAGUCAGUGGUGAAAUACUGCCGCUUAACGGUAGAACUGCCAUUGAUACUGCAAGUCUUGAAUAUGGUUGAGGUAGGCGGAAUGUGUUGUGUAGCGGUGAAAUGCAUAGAUAUGACACAGAACGCCGAUUACGAAGGCAGCUUACUAAGCCAUUAUUGACGCUGAGGCACGAAAGCGUGGGGAGCGAACAGGAUUAGAUACCCUCGUAGUC